rnacentral:rRNA from 1 species
AGUGAACGCUGGCGGCAGGCCUAACACAUGCAAGUCGAACGAACUCACCGUAAUUGGUGGCGGUCGGGGGUGGCGCGUGGCGGAAGGUGGCGGUAUGCUUCGGAUACUACUUGUUCGUGUGUGCUAACGUCGGAAGUGUUACGCUAAUGCCGCAUUCAUCCUACGGGUAAAAGCAGGCGAUCGUCGAACUUUUCGCUGAGGAAUGGGCCGAUGUCGGCUUAGCUAGGUGGCGGGGUAGAGGCGCACCAAGGCGACGCUCCGUAGCUGGUCUGAGAGGAUGAUCAGCCACAUGGGAACUGAGACACGGUACAGACUCCUACAGGAGGCAGCAGUGCGGAAUAUUAGACAAUGGGCGAAAGCCUGAUCCAGCCAUACCGCGUGGGGGAAGAAGGAGCCAGGGUUGUAGAGUCCUUUAGGUGUGAAGGAAAAGCAGUACUUUCACCCGGGGCUGUACUGACGGUACCCAAAGAAGAAGCACCGGCUAACUUCGUG